rnacentral:misc_RNA from 1 species
ACGUAUCUCUGACGGGGUGCGGUGCGCCCUGCUCCGGACACAACCGUCCGUGCAGCGGGCAGCCGUCCCCGUCCAAACCUCACAAACCCACUGUGAACCUUCACGGCGGAGGGGAGGCGACUCCCCAAAGCCGCAUACAAACUCCAGUCUUAAGAAUGUCGUGCGGACAUUGUGCCGCCUAAAACACAAAA